rnacentral:sRNA from 1 species
UACAGCCCACUCCGCGCCUACUUCAGCUC